UACGAAGGGUGCAAACGUUGCUCGGAAUCAUUGGGCGUAAAGCGCACGUAGGCGGUCUGUUAUGUCGGAUGUGAAAGCCCUCGGCUCAACUGAGGAAGUGCAUCCGAAACUGGCAGGCUAGAGUACUAAAGAGGGUCGCGGAAUUCCCGGUGUAGAGGUGAAAUUCGUAGAUAUCGGGAGGAACACCGGUGGCGAAGGCGGCGACCUGGGUAGAUACUGACGCUGAGGUGCGAAAGCGUGGGGAGCAAACAGG
rnacentral:rRNA from 1 species